UUUAUACGACCCCAAAAAAAUUUUGCGGUCGUAUAUUGGUAUGACGUUGGUGUCGUCGUCGUCAUCGUUGUCCGAAGACACAUUAGUUUUCGCACUCUAACUUUAGUUUAAGUGAAUGGAUCUCAAUGAAAUUUUACCAUAAGGUUCAAUACCACAAAAGGAAGGUUGGGAUUGAUUUUGGGGGUUAUGGUACUAACAGCAAAGGAAUAAGGGGCCAAAAAGGGGCCAAAAAUAAGCAUUUUUGUAACUUCCAGACAUGACUUGUGUGUUAGUGUAUGGAUCUCUCUGACAUUGUACCACAAGGUUCCAUAUCACAAAAGGAAUGCUGGGAUUGAUUUUGGGGGUAAUUGCCUCAAAAUUUUAGGAAUUAGGGGCCAAAAAAGGGGCAAAAAACAAGCAUUUUUCUAGUUUCAUGACAAUAACUUGUGUGUAAGUGUAUGGAUCUUUCUGAAAUUGUACUACAAGGUUCCAUAUCACAAAGGGAAAGCUGGAAUUGAGUUUGGGGGUAAUUGUCGAAACGUUUAGGAAUUGGGGGCCAAAAAGGGGCCAAAAAUAAGCAUUUUUCUAGUUUCCAGACAAUAACUUGUGUUCAAGUGUAUGGAUCUCUCUGAAAUUGUACUGCAACAUACCAUACCACAAAGGGAAUGCUGGGAUUGAUGAUGGGGGUAAUUGCCUCAAUAUUUUAGGAAAUAGGGGCCAAAAAGGGGCAAAAAACAAGCAUUUUUCUAGUUUCAGGACGAUAACUUGUGUGUAAGUGUAUGGAUCUUUCUGAAAUUGUACUACAAGGUUCCAUAUCACAAAGGAAAAGCUGGAAUUGAGUUUGGGGGUAAUUGCCCAAAAAGUUUAGGAAUAAGGGGCCAAAAAUAAGCAUUUUUCUAGUUUCCAGACAAUAACUUGUGUUCAAGUGUAUGGAUCUCUCUCAAAUUGUACUGCAAGGUACCAUACCACAAAGGGAAGGCUUGGAAUGAUUUUGGGGGUAAUUCUCUCAAAAUUUUAGGAAUUAGGGGCCAUAAAAGGGCAAAAAAACAAGCAUUUUUCUAGUUUCAGGACAAUAACUUGUGUGUAAGUGUAUGGAUCUUUAUGAAGUUGUACUGCAAGGUUCCAUAUCACAAAGGGAAAGCUGGGUUUGAGUUUGGGGGUAAUUGCCCUAACGUUUAUGAAUUUGGGGCCAAAAAGGGGCCAAAAACAAGCACUUUUCUAGUUUGCAGACAAUAACUUGUGUUCAAGUGUAUGGAUCUCUCUGCAAGGUACCAUACCACAAGGGGAAGGCUGGGAUUGAGUUUGGGGAUGAUGAAUCAUAAGGGGGUUCAAAUAAUUUGGGGGGGGGAUUU